GGUGCUAAUACCGGAUAAGAAAGCGGAUCGCAUGAUCAGCUUUAAAAGGCGGCGUAAGCUGUCGCUAUGGGAUGGCCCCGCGGUGCAUUAGCUAGUUGGUAAGGUAAAGGCUUACCAAGGCGAUGAUGCAUAGCCGAGUUGAGAGACUGAUCGGCCACAUUGGGACUGAGACACGGCCCAAACUCCUACGGGAGGCAGCAGC
rnacentral:rRNA from 1 species